rnacentral:rRNA from 1 species
AUACAUGCAAGUCGAACGCGCAGCGAAAGGUGCUUGCACCUUUCAAGCGAGUGGCGAACGGGUGAGUAACACGUGGAUAACCUGCCUCAAGGCUGGGGAUAACAUUUGGAAACAGAUGCUAAUACCGAAUAAAACUUAGUAUCGCAUGAUACAAAGUUGAAAGGCGCUACGGCGUCACCUAGAGAUGGGUCCGCGGUGCAUUAGUUAGUUGGUGGGGUAAAGGCCUACCAAGACAAUGAUGCAUAGCCGAGUUGAGAGACUGAUCGGCCACAUUGGGACUGAGACACGGCCCAAACUCCUACGGGAGGCUGCAGUAGGGAAUCUUCCACAAUGGGCGAAAGCCUGAUGGAGCAACGCCGCGUGUGUGAUGAAGGCUUUAGGGUCGUAAAGCACUGUUGUAUGGGAAGAAAUGCUAGAAUAGGGAAUGAUUCUAGUUCGACGGUACCAUACCAGAAAGGGACGGCUAAAUACGUGCCAGCAGCCGCGGUAAUACGUAUGUCCCGAGCGUUAUCCGGAUUUAUUGGGCGUAAAGCGAGCGCAGACGGUUGAUUAAGUCUGAUGUGAAAGCCCGGAGCUCAACUCCGGAAUGGCAUUGGAAACUGGUUAACUUGAGUGUUGUAGAGGUAAGUGGAACUCCAUGUGUAGCGGUGGAAUGCGUAGAUAUAUGGAAGAACACCAGUGGCGAAGGCGGCUUACUGGACAACAACUGACGUUGAGGCUCGAAAGUGUGG